GUGUCAGCCGCCGCGGUAAGACAGAGGUGCCAAGCGUUAGGCGGAAUCACUGGGCUUAAAGCGUGUGUAGGCGGAUCGUUAAGUGCUUUGUGAAAUCCCACGGCUCAACCGUGGAAUUGCUUGGCAUACUGGCGAUCUUGAGCCACUUAGGGGCAACUGGAACAAACGGUGGAGCGGUGAAAUGCGUAGAUAUCGUUUGGAACGCCAAUGGUGAAAACAGGUUGCUGGGAGUGUGCUGACGCUGAGACACGAAAGCCAGGGGAGCAAACGGGAUUAGAUACCCCAGUAGUCC
rnacentral:rRNA from 1 species